GGGGCCGAACCGGCAAUCGACCGGGCAGGGAAGACUUGGUAUUGCGCGUCCAGGGGCGUGAUGGCCUGGUAAAAAGCACGCAACAAAAUUAGCUGGCAACAGCAACUACGCUCUCGCGGCCUAAUUUGGCUGCGCGUUCCGCGACUGACGCCCGAUAGGGCGCGGAACGAAGACUUCGGGCUGGCUCACAAGUGGCGCACCCGGGCGCGUGGGCGAGGAUCCAUCUGGGUGAUUGGCCGCGGCGGAGGAUGCUGACCUUCGACGCCGCGGGCGAAAGCAAACGAUCAGACACACGCGUAGACGUGCCAUGUUGACUGACCCGGCACGGGGGUUCAACUCCCCCCGGCUCCACUU
rnacentral:tmRNA from 1 species